rnacentral:lncRNA from 1 species
GUGGCCUCCAGUUCCACCCAUGUUCCUACUGAGGGCAUGAUUUUGUUUCUGUGUUUGAUUUUCCUUAGUGGUUUUUUCAGCAUUCUGUGAUGUAUAGGUACCACAUUUUAAAAAAUCCAAUUUUCUGUUGGUGGGCAUCUAGGUCAGUUCCACAUCUUUAUUCCUGUCAGUAACACUCCCGUGGACAUGUGAGUGUCUGUGUCCUUUUGAUAGAUGCAUGUGUUUUUCCUUGGGGUAGACGCACCGGGUGGGAUUGCUGCGUCAAAGCGUAGCUCUGCUUUCUGUCCUUUUUUUUUUCCAGAAAUCUUCAGACUGAUUUCCACAGUUUGAGAUCUAGUUUGCAUUACCUCCAAGAGAAUAGCCAUGUUUGCUUUUCUCUGCUGCCACACCAGCAUGUUAUGUUUUGACUUAGGACAAAUGGCCACUCUGACCAGCGUGUGAUGGCACCGGUACCUCAUCUCUGAUGAUUGGUGAUGUUGAGCAUUCCCCACGCCUGUUGGAAUGGCAAUCCCUUGGAAAUGUCUUCUCAAUAGUUACUACCCAUAGAGAACAGACCCUCCCAGUCUUCAGUGCACUCUAAAUACUGGCUAAUUCUGGCCAAUGGAAGGCAUCUGUGGAAGAAAAAAGCCUCAGAUCAUGUGCUGUCUGUCUUUAUUCAGUGUGACAUAUUAGGUAAUGGUCACAGACACUCACCAUGGCCCCAGUUUUUAAUAACAUGACCCUGCUUUUGUGUUCCAGUAACUUCUGUUGUUUUCCCAAUCCUAAGUAUGAUAGAAACUUCCUGCUGCUGCUAAUCUCUGGGUUCCAUUUAAAAUCCUUCCAUCACAUGAAUACUAUGCUGUGUUCUAAAUUUUUCCAUAAUUAAAUACUUACAAUUAUUUUUGCCUACUUCUUUUGCCCCUUAGUGAUAUGUUUUAAAAACACUUAUAAUGUGUCACAAUAUAUUUAGCAAAUGUAGGGAAUGACAUUUUUACUUUCGUCAGCAUUUACACUAGCAUUUAUGGAGCGAUGCUAUAUAAAGUAUUUUUAGUAAUUUAAACGUUAUAUAACAGAUAUCCGUUGAUUCCUUUGUUUCUACGUAAAUAAGUAUACUUGAGAUAUUCAGUAAACAGUAUUGAAUACAUGUUUCAUUUGUAUAAUAUAAAAUUAUGAUUAUUCUUUUUAAACAGUACAUCAUAUUUGCUUGUUGGCUUUAUGAUAACUUAGAAAUAAUAUUCUGGAUUAACUGUGUGACUCAUGAGAAGAUUUGUGCAACUAUGUUUCCAAAUUUACUUGAUUUUCAAGACUUACACUAGAACUGUGAGAACAGGGUAAUAAAUAAGCAUAUGUAUUAAUAUCACCUUUGGUCAACUCUUGGGUAGCCCCAACGGUAGUGUAGGAAUUAACGUAAUUUUUCCUACUAAAAGUAUUGGAUUUGUUUUGAGAGACCACAGUUGAAAAUCAUUGACAUACAAAGUUUAAAAAUUGUUAGGUUAAAAAAUUUUAAAUGCAUUUGAAGUGGUUUUAUAGAAAAAUAAUUAUCUAACUUGGUUUAUAUUGACAGGUUGUUUUCUUGGAUAAGAACUAGACGAAGAGAAAGGGAGAUUAGUGAUAAAUGUCCAGGUUUUCAAGUUGAAAAGUAACAAUCAGUGUAUUACAACAGAUGGAUGUGAUGUCAAAUUACAAAUGCUGAAAACGUUAUAUGUAAUCAUGUAGCCAGAGUAAUCAUACAAGGCAAAGAACGGAAAGGCAUCCAAAUAGGAAAGAGGCUGGAAUGCAGUGGCACCAUCUCAGCUCACUGCAACCUCCGCCUCUGGGUUCAAGUGCUGCUCCUGCCUCAGUCUC